UUGAAGGAGUUCAGUGGAAGUACAUCAUCGUGUGUCAGCGGAGCAGGAAAUUCACUCAUCAUCAGCAGAGGAGGAAUAUACUUCUGUUCAUGCACGUGCUUGCAUGCAUGAAGCAGAUCAUCGUGUGUCAGCGGAGCACCAACAUCACACAAACAGACUAGAAAAUGUUGUAGGCAUUAAGGGAACGUCCUUCUCCUGGCUCAGGUGUCUUCUCUACGCAUACUAAGGUAAAGUUUGGUGUUCUGUAAGGUUCUGUUUUAGGCCCACUGCUCUUUUCUUUAUAUAUGCUACCUCUGGGCAAAAUUAUUUGUAAACAUGGUAUUAGCUUCCACUGUUACGCUGAUGACACACAGUUGUACAGUCAGGUCCAUAAAUAUUGGGACAGUGACACAGUUUUGGUCAUUUUGCCUCUGUACACCACCACAGUGGAUUUGAAAUGAAGCAGUCAAGAGGUGACUGAAGCGUAGACUUUCAGCUUUAAUUCAAGGGGUUUAACAAAAAUAUUGCAUUAACCGUUUAGGAAUUACAGCCAUUUUUUACAGAGUUCCUCCAUUUUCACAGGCUCAAAAAUAAUGGGACAAACUAAUAUAAUCAUAAAUAUUAGGAUUAUUUUUAUUACUUGGAGGUAAAUACUUUGCAGUCAAUGACUACCUGAAGUCUGGACCCCAUGGACAUCACCAAAUGCACCAGUUUCCUCCCUUGAGAUGAUUUGCCAGGUCAUUACUGCAGCCAUCUUCAGUUGCUGCUUGUUUGUGGGUCAUUCUGCCUUCAGAUUUGUCUUCAGUAAGUGAAAAGCAGCUCAGUUGGGUUGAGGUCAGGUGACUGACUCGGCCAUUUAAGAACAUUUAAUUUCCAAGCUCUUGGGCUGCUUUCACAGUAUGUUUUGGGUUGUUAUCCAUCUGUACUGUGAAGCGCUGUCCUAUCAGUUUUGCAGCAUUUGACUGAAUCUGAGCAGAAAGUAUAGCUCUGUACACUUCAGAAUUCAUCCUGCUACUUCUAUCAACAGUCACAUUAUCAAUAAACCCCAGUGACCCAGUUCCAUUGGCAGCCAAACAUCCCCAUGCCAUAACACUGCCUCCACAUGUUUGACGGAUGAUGUGGUAUGCUUUGGAUCAUGAGCCCUUCCUUUCCUUCUCCAUACUUUUCUCUUCCCAUCAUUCUGGUACAAGUUAAUCUUGCAUCAGAACUGGUCAGGCUUUUUUUUAGAGUUUUUUUAGCAAAGUCUAAUCUGGCCUUUGUGUUCUUGAGUGUUACCAGCGGUUUGCAUCUUGAGGUAAACCGUCUGUAUUUACAUUCAUGAAGGUGGCUCUUGAUUGUAGACUUUGACAAUGAUAGGCCUACCUCCUCCAGAGUGUUCCUGACUUGGCUAGAUGUUGUGAAGGGGUUGUUCUUCAGUAAGAAAAGAAUUCUGCAAUCAUCCACUUUAGUUGUUUUCUGCGGUCUCCCAGGCCUUUUGGUGUUGCUGAGCUCGCCAGUGCAUUCCUUCUUUUUAAGAAUGUACCAAAUUGUUGAUUUGGCCCUCCUAAAGUUUCUGCUAUCUCUCUGAUAUGUCUGUUUUGGUUUUUCAGCCUAAUGAUGGCCUCGUUCACUUGCAUCAACACCUCUUUGGACGGCAUAUUGAGAGUUCCCAUGAACAGCUACCAAAUGCAAAUUCAACACUUGGAAUCAGCUCCAGACCUUUUAUCUCCUUAAUUUAUCAUGAUAUAAGGAGGAAACAGGCCACAGCUGGCCAUGAAACUGCUUAUCAGUCAAUUGUCCCAUUACUUUUGAGCCUGUGAAAAUGGAGGAACUCUGUAAAAAAUGGCUGUAAUUCCUAAACAGUUAAUGCAAUAUUUUUGUUAAACCCCUUGAAUUAAAGCUGAAAGUCUAUGCUUCAGUAACAUCUUGACUGCUUCAUUUCAAAUCCACUGUGGUGGUGUACAGAGGCAAAAUUACCAAAACUGUGUCACUGUCCCAAUAUUUAUGGACCUGACUGUAUGUUUCAGCAAGGCCAGAUGACAGACACCAGCUUAAUAAAGUUGAGGAAUGUGUAAAGGACAUUAGACACUGGAUGCUUAUUAACUUUCUUUUACUUAAUUCUAACAAGACAGAAGUACUUGUACUAGGACCACAUACAGCUAGAAGUAAGCUUUAUGAUUACAUAAUAACUCUCGAUGACCUUUCUGUUUCAUCGUGUACAGCAGUAAAAGACCUUAGUGUAAUUAUGGACUCCAGUCUUUCAUUGAAGUUUAUGUAGAUAAUAUUACUAGGACAGCUUUCUUUCAUCUCAGAAAUAUUGCUAAGACACAAUGCAGAAAAAUUAGUUCAUGCAUUUGUUACCUCUAGGUUGGAUUAUUGUAAUGGCUGUUCCAGUUGAUGUGUAAACAAGCUCCAGUUAGUCCAGAAUGCAGCAGUGAGAGUUCUUACUAGAACCAGAAGAUUGAUUAUAAAUUACUACUAUUGAACUAUAAAGCAAAGAAUUGUCUCACGCCUCAGUACCUGAGUGAACUUUUGAUCUUUUAUGAUCCGCCAUGCCUACUUCCAUCAAAUGGUGCAGGCUAUUUGCUGGUACCUCGAAUAGUGAAGGCUACAGCAGGGGGUAGAGCUUUCUCUUACAAAGACCCCCAGUUAUGCAACAGCCUUCCAAUUAGUGUUCAGGGCUCAGACACUCUUACACGCUUGCACUCUGCACACAAAAUACAUUGCCCUUAACAACAAUUACACGACAAAAGCUUACAAUAUGUACUUGUAAAAAAAUAUACAUUAUACAUAAUAUACUGUACAUAUAGUAAUACAUAUUAAUUGUUACAAACCAUGUACACCAAUGCUUUUGAAUCUGUCCCUCUCUCUCUCUCUCUCUCUCUCUCUCUCUCUGUCGAGCUACACCUGCUACUCCAGAGGCACCAGUGAUGCUGACCCCUACUGCUCCGGACCUGCCUGAUCCAUCCUGAUGCCCUACUUCUGGUUGGUGUUCUCAUCGGUUGGAGAUCGCUCGCUGCUGCUGGGGGUGGCCCCACAUAGAAGGCCUGAAGAUCACUGGGAUUGCUAGGGAUGGAGAGGCUUGGGGGCCAUGGAGAUGGCUUGGGGAUCAGCCAUGAAUGUAUUUAUUUCUGUAAAGCUGCUUUGUGACAAUGUCAGGGUCUAGCAGCUGGAAGACAACUCUUGAAUGAAAAUUUUGUAUGAUUCACCAACAUUGCAGUCUGUAGCUAUAUUCACACUGAGCCUUGUUUCUUGUGUUGUGCCAAAAUCUGUUACCCAUAGAAAUUUGUGACAUGGGGUACCUGUUCAUUAGUUACAUGGGGUACCUAUUCAUCACACUAUCAUUGUCUUCACAUCAGGUUAAAUAUUUUUUCUAUCCUGUACCCCUAACCCUAAACCUCACAACAAUAUUUAGCAGCUAUUUAGACUUUUAUGUACGCUUCGUGCUAAAGGUCACAGAUUUCUAUAGUUCACAGAUUUUGGCACUACACUGGAACAUUGCUGGGGAGCCUUCUGUGUGACUGCAAAUCCUAGAACACAUCUAUGUGAACAAAGGCAGAACCAAUGCCGGGUAGAGUGUGUGUCGUAGCGAUUACGUAGUUAUCAUGAGAUUAUUUGACCAUGAGUUUUAAAUACAGGUCAACAUGGCAAACAAGCUCUCAUUUGGGCGAAAAACAUGUUGCCAAUAAACAAUACUGUUUGCGGAUCAACACCUGUGGUACAAUCGUACGCCAUGUUGUUCAUAACAAUAACGCAAACACUUCAAUUGCUGUCCUAAGAGCCGCAUUUUCGACGCGUACAUUUGAUGCAUCACUCUCCACCUUGAUGGGCUGUCCCAGGCUGUGUGUGAACACGAGCACAUAUUACGGAAAAGCACUGGCAGUGUGAGUGAACAAAUCUCUGUGUGAAAGGGGAUUUAGUGACAGACAAAACACACAAUGUACUCACUCCACAGUGUAUGCCAUAGACAAUAUGUACUUGUAAAAAAAUAUACAUUAUACAUAAUACACUGUACAUGUAGUAAUACAUAUUAAUUUUUACAAACCAUGUACACCAAUGCUUUGUUAAUUUAAGUAAUAAAUAUUAUUUUUGUUAAUUUAAUGGCCCAUAGCCCUGUUGUGAAGUACAAUUAUGUGUUCAGUACUUUGUUCAGGAAUUUGAGGUAUAUUAACUUUUGUGAACUUUUUUUGGUGCAAUACAUGGUUUUAUAACAUUAAUAUUACUCGCAUUAAACAUACUUGCAAAUUUAUUAAUCAAAUUAAAUUCAUGAUAAAGACAUGUAGACUAAACGCAAAGGCUUCAAAUUAGGAGAACUUGAGUCAUUCAAGUUAACCACAAAAUAUUAUUCUAAGUUGGUGUUACAUGGAUGGUGUAAAUACUUGAUUCAGUUUUGUUCCCAUUACACAAGAUAUUUGAGUAAAACUUUUUAAGUUAAAAUAACUUGUUUCAAUCAUGUGGAACCACUAUCCAUGAUAGAAUCAAGUUACACCAAAGUGAUAUUUUUUGAGAGUAUACUCAUCUAACCUCUCUCAUCAACAAGGCAUUGCCAGCUACAGAACUACCACUGCCUGUAUGUUUUUUUUGCACAAUUCAAUGUAAACUCUACAGACUGCUGCACAUGAAAAUCCCAGGAGAUCAGCAGUUUCUGAAAUACUCAAUUUAGCCCAUCUGGCACCAACAACCAUGUCACUGAGAUCACAUUUUUCCCCCAUUCUGAUGUUUUAUGUGAACAUUAAAUGAAAUUCCUAUCCCGUAUCUGCAUGAUUUUAUGCUUUGUGCUGCUGCCACAUGACUGCUCUUUCAUGCAAUACUUAAUACUAAUUAAUUAUAAUUAAAUAUAUUGAAUGAAUGAGCAGGGGUACAGGUGUUAUAUGCUGUGUUGUGGCUUGUAGUAACACAAGCAAACCUUAUAUCUAUGUAUGAUUUAGGAUGAUUGUACGUUUUAUGGAAUACAGAAAGGUCAUCCAUCCAGCCAUCCAUCAAUCCAUCCAUUUGCUUCCACUUGUCUGGGUCCGGCUCAUGGGGGCAGCAGUCUAAGCAAAGACGCCCAGACCUCCCGCUCCCUAGCCACCUCCUCCACCAAAGGGAUACCUUGGCGCUCCCAGGCCAGACGAGAGAUACACUGCAAUACAGCAAAAAGAGAAAUAAUAGUGUGUGUGUGUGUGUGUGUGUGUGUUUAGGGCCUCCACCAUCUUGAGUAAGACAGGCAGAGGCCAUUUUUUCAUGUAAAUUGUAGGGAAAGCCAUGCCAUCUCCUGUUUGUUGCCUUCUUAAGUAAAGAAAAUUUGCCUUUCUUACAUAAAUAAAGGAGUUCAAAAAGACAUGAC